rnacentral:misc_RNA from 1 species
AGAAAGGGACUUGGAGUCACAGCAGCAUGAUCGAUUCUCUGGUGUAGUGAAAAAUCGUCAGAUGUAUGAGCUUCAUGAUGUAAAUUAGACUUAUCAUAUGUCAAGGGAGAGGAGCACGAUCAUCAUUAGUGCCACUGCACUAGUAUUAGAUUCUUAUUUGGCUUCAAGCAUAAAUUAACUGGAAGCUUAACAAAGGCAAAAGUGAGUAGGAUCAUUGCAAUUUCUAACACUAAGAAAGUCUAAAGAUGUUCUUAGAGGAUAAUUUGCACUGGUUAGUGGUUAAACUG